UGCCGUGUGGCAAAAUGGUUACUGCGUUGCUUUCCGAUUAGUUUUCUCGAACAGGCAGAGACUGUGGGUUCGAGUCCCACCGUGGUCG